rfam:Oceanococcus atlanticus strain 22II-S10r2 contig3, whole genome shotgun sequence.
CUGCCGGCCGACAUCCACGGUGUUGGCCCGAUAAAGCAGUGUUGGGUCGACUGAAAUGGGAAGUCCGGUGAGGCACCGAUAACUUCGGUGAGCAAUCCGGCGCUGCCCCCGCAACGGUAGGAAGCCCGACUUCAAGCCCGAUACCAGCCUGGAUGUGUUCAUCGAU